rnacentral:lncRNA from 1 species
UGAUCUUUAGAUCUCACAUGAUGUCCGAAGAAUACAAGCUACAAAAGGAUCAGCACCUCAAGGAAUUCUAAGGCAUUACAAGCUAAUAUCUUGGACCCAGGAUGUGAAAGCAGAUGACUUGUAACCCAGCAAAACUUUUUGCCAUACAAAUUGAAUUCCAGAUAGCAAGUUAGAAUGUCACUGUCAUCUCCGUAAGCAGACUACUGACAAUUUAGCCUAGGCAAAGGGAGAAAAGCAGCAGUGAGCUGAGGUAAGAAGUGUCUUAUCUAAUGUCUUUUAGCCAAUAAUUGCCAGAACAGAAUAUGUAUUUUCUGAUUUCCCAAUUUUUUUGGUAAUGUUCCCCUGUGAAACAG